rnacentral:rRNA from 1 species
UACGUAGGUGGCAAGCGUUGUCCGGAAUUAUUGGGCGUAAAGCGCGCGCAGGUGGUUUCUUAAGUCUGAUGUGAAAGCCCACGGACUCAACCGUGGAGGGUCAUUGGAAACUGGGGAACUUGAGUGCAGAAGAGGAAAGUGGAAUUCCAAGUGUAGCGGUGAAAGUGCCGUAGAGGAUUUGGGAGGAACACCAGUGGCGAAAGGCGACUUUCUGGUCUGUAACGUGACACUC